rnacentral:rRNA from 1 species
CAGCCCUUGACAUGCCACGACCGCCACAGAGAUGUGGUUUUCCCUUCGGGGACGUGGACACAGGUGCUGCAUGGCUGUCGUCAGCUCGUGUCGUGAGAUGUUGGGUUAAGUCCCGCAACGAGCGCAACCCUCGCCCUUAGUUGCCAGCAUUCAGUUGGGCACUCUAAGGGGACUGCCGGUGAUAAGCCGAGAGGAAGGUGGGGAUGACGUCAAGUCCUCAUGGCCCUUACGGGCUGGGCUACACACGUGCUACAAUGGUGGUGACAGUGGGCAGCGAAGGGGCGACCCCGAGCUAAUCUCCAAAAGCCAUCUCAGUUCGGAUUGCACUCUGCAACUCGAGUGCAUGAAGUUGGAAUCGCUAGUAAUCGCGGAUCAGCACGCCGCGGUGAAUA